rnacentral:tRNA from 1 species
GGAAUCGAAUAGCCGAAUGACGGCAAGGCGCCCCGACGCGAAGCGCGGACGGGCUUAAUCGGGAAGCCGGUGCGAAUCCGGCGCGGUCCCGCCA